GCGUCGGUGCCCUACGCGUCCGCGCAUGGAGCGGCGGUGCGGCGGCGAGCCCUGCGGCUUGGGUUCUUCCCGCGAUGCGGCGGUGGAGCGCGGGCGAGCCGGCGCCUCGGGGUGGACUUCCCGCGCGGUGGUGGCUGGCGAUGAUGGGCGCAGAGGAUGGAGAAAAAAUAUGUAUCUUUUCCUACAAAGUGGGAGCAGCUGCAUGGCAUGGUGAAAGUAGAAGUUAGCACAAAGACUGCCAAAAGUUCUAGCAGUUGUACCAAUGAUCUUCUCUGGCUUACAGGAUGUCAGUCAACUGGUCCUGCCUUGUGCGAUCCCCGGCCGUCCGGCGCCCUUCCAUCCUGCCAACUGCGAAUGCAAUCCGUCCACUAAAUCAAGGGAAUGGCUACCACUGAAUCAAGGGAAUGACUACGCAUCACUCGAGUGAAUUUCUGCUGCCCCUUCGAUCGAAUUUUGAAUCAAUCCAAUCAUGCCACGUAGCAGUGUUGGGAAGAGAAAUUGAGUGAAAACUGGAUUAGAUUUAGUCGAUUUUAACAAAGAGAGACCAGUUUACCGUAACGACUACAAAUCACUUGAGUGAUUUAUGUCUCUAUCGUGGGUUAUGAUGCGUUGUCCGUGAUGUACACAAAACAGGAAGCCGAUAGAUGUAGCGGCAACCUGUAUAUACACUCUCUAUGCCGUGA